rnacentral:rRNA from 1 species
CACGGGGGGAGCAAGCGUUGUUCGGAAUCACUGGGCGUAAAGGGCGUGUAGGCGGUCAAGUAAGUGGGAUGUGAAAUCCCUCGGCUUACCCGAGGACCUGCAUCCCAAACGGCUUGGCUUGAGUAUGGGAGAGGGAUGCGGAAUUCCAGGUGUAGCGGUGAAAUGCGUAGAUAUCUGGAGGAACACCGGUGGCGAAGGCGGCAUCCUGGACCAACACUGACGCUGAGUGAGCGAAAGCCAGGGGAGCAAACGGG